rnacentral:rRNA from 1 species
UAAUACAUGCAAAGUCGAGCGAGCGGAACUAACAGAUUUACUUCGGUAUGACGUUGGAAAGCGAGCGGCGGGAUGGGUGAGUAACACGUGGGGGAAUCCUGCCCCCACUAGUCUGGGAUACCACUUGGAAACAGGUGCUAAUACGGGAUAAGAAGGCAGAUCGCAUGAUCAGCUUUUAAAAAGGCGGCGUAAGCUGUCGCUAUGGGAUGGCCCCGCGGUGCAUUAGCUAGUUGGUAAGGUAAAGGCUUACCAAGGCGAUGAUGCAUAGCCGAGUUGAGAGACUGAUCGGCCACAUUGGGACUGAGACACGGCCCAAACUCCUACGGGAGGCAGCAGUAGGGAAUCUUCCACAAUGGACGCAAGUCUGAUGGAGCAACGCCGCGUGAGUGAAGAAGGUUUUCGGAUCGUAAAGCUCUGUUGUUGGUGAAGAAGGAUAGAGGUAGUAACUGGCCUUUAUUUGACGGUAAUCAACCAGAAAGUCACGGCUAACUACGUGCCAGCAGCCGCGGUAAAU